AGAGUUUGAUCCUGGCUCAGGAUGAACGCUGGCGGCGUGCCUAACACAUGCAAGUCGAACGAAGCACUAUGAUUUGAUUCUUCGGAUGAAGAUCUUUGUGACUGAGUGGCGGACGGGUGAGUAACGCGUGGGUAACCUGCCUCGUACUGGGGGAUAACAGUUAGAAAUGACUGCUAAUACCGCAUAAGACCACAGAGCUGCAUGGCUCGGUGGGAAAAACUCCGGUGGUACGAGAUGGACCCGCGUCUGAUUAGGUAGUUGGUGGGGUAACGGCCUACCAAGCCGACGAUCAGUAGCCGACCUGAGAGGGUGACCGGCCACAUUGGGACUGAGACACGGCCCAAACUCCUACGGGAGGCAGCAGUGGGGAAUAUUGCACAAUGGGCGAAAGCCUGAUGCAGCGACGCCGCGUGAAGGAUGAAGUAUUUCGGUAUGUAAACUUCUAUCAGCAGGGAAGAAAAUGACGGUACCUGACUAAGAAGCCCCGGCUAACUACGUGCCAGCAGCCGCGGUAAUACGUAGGGGGCAAGCGUUAUCCGGAUUUACUGGGUGUAAAGGGAGCGUAGACGGCUUUGCAAGUCUGAUGUGAAAACCCGGGGCUCAACACCGGGACUGCAUUGGAAACUGUAGAGCUAGAGUGUCGGAGAGGUAAGUGGAAUUCCUAGUGUAGCGGUGAAAUGCGUAGAUACUAGGAGGAACACCAGUGGCGAAGGCGGCUUACUGGACGAUGACUGACGUUGAGGCUCGAAAGCGUGGGGAGCAAACAGGAUUAGAUACCCUGGUAGUCCACGCCGUAAACGAUGACUACUAGGUGUCGGGUAACAAAGCUAUUCGGUGCCGCAGCAAACCCAAUAAAUAGUCCA
rnacentral:rRNA from 1 species